CACUCACUUUCCUUUUCCCCGUCUUGUGUGUAUCAAUUUGUCGACGGUUUCUACUGUUCCUAUCAUCUACAUCGUCGUCAACAUCCACAAGAAUAACACCAUCUGUAUAAUCAUCAUCAUUAAAUUCCAUAUCUAUAUCAUCCUCACCCUCGAAAUUGUCAUCAUCAUAAUCAUCCAUAUCCUCUUCAUUUUCAUCAUCUGUACCAGCACCCGUGGUAUGGAACUCGGGAGGUGGAGGACAAUCCUCUGUUUCUGCCUUGUCCCGCUUCAUCACAAGAUGUCGAAUGACUCUCUCAUCUUUGUCAAGCAUGCUCUUGAAAUCAUUAAUCCAUUUGGCUUCCAACUCAAAAUUCAUCAAAAUGUAAUGAGCUCGUGAUGCUUUCUGAAUCUUAUAUGCCAGUCUACGCAUACCCCAAUCACUGAAUCUCCACAACCUCCCUUUCUUCUCUUUCAAAAAUUCUUGAACAUUAGCAUUCACACUCUCAACCUCAUCUUCACGAUCCUCAUGAAUCAGAUACACCACUUCAUAGUGUCGCAUCUGUUCCACAUUCAGAUCACUUUCCAACUGCAGAUUUAGAGCCUCAAACAGUUCCUCCUCUUCAGCAUCUGCAAACUCAGGUACAAGUCUACCAUCUUCUUGGACCUUCCUCUCUCUAAGGAGCACAGCUUCGGGAAAAGGACCAGUGGCUUCAUCAGGUUUAGGAAUAAAGCUGUGGGAGUCAGAUUUCUUCUUCUUCUUGUUUGAUGCUGAAACAAUAACAGAGGGAAUUCGGUUGUUCUUGUGGGGAAAAUAUAGGAAGAAAGAAGGGUGCCCACUUGCUGAAACUGAAGGAUAACAUUUACAAGAAGAGGAGGAAGAGGAGCUGAGCAACUUCCCGAUAUCAGGUGAAGAGGUAAGAAGGAGGGACUCCAUUUUUGGUGAAGGAGCAGAGGGGAUAG
rnacentral:misc_RNA from 1 species